AUUGAACGCUGGCGGCAGGCCUAACACAUGCAAGUCGAGCGGAAGCACGGUGCUUGCUUGUGGUUUCAGCGGGGGAAGGGCGAGUGAUGCAUGGGAAUCUCCCGGGCUGCGCUGGAUAACGUCCGGACGCAGGCGCUACUACCGCAUACGUGCAGAGGGAGUACGUGGGGGAUCUUCGGAUCUUACGCCCUCAGAUGAUUGUAGGGCGGAUUAGCUAGUUGGUGGGUUAAAGGGCUACCAAGGCGACGAUCCGUAGCUGGUCUGAGAGGAUGAUCAGUCACACUGGAACUGAGACACGGUCCAGACUCCUACGGGAGGCAGCAGUGGGGAAUAUUGGACAAUGGGCGAAAGCCUGAUCCAGUCAUCCCGCGUGUGUGAAGAAGGCCUUCGGAUUGUAAAGCCCGUUUGGUGGGGAGGAAGGGCAGUAGGUUAAUACCUUGCUGUUUUGACGUUACCAAAAGAAUAAGCACCGGCUAACUUCGUG
rnacentral:rRNA from 1 species